CCCGGGAGGCGGAGCUUGCAGUGAGCCGAGAUCGCGCCACUCCACUCCAGCCUGGGCGACAGAGUGAGACUCUGUUUAAAAAAAAAAAAGGCAGCCAGCUGCUCUUGGGUCUGCUCUGCCUAUGAAGUAGCCAUUUUUAUUCCUUUACUUUCUCAAUAAACUUGCUUUCACUUUAUGGAUUUGCCUCAUAUUCUUUCAAGUGCAAGAUCCAAGAACCCACUUUUGGGGUCUGGAUUGGGACCCCUUUCUGGUAACAUCGUUCUAUCAAACCACAGAUGGGAUGAUACUGAGGAGACCCCUGACCCAAAGGAAAUAGACUGCAGCACAAAUCGGCCAACUUUGGCUUGGCCCCGGAGCUGUGGUGCAGCAAGCUGGGUCACUAGGGCCGCUGAGGGAGAGGGAACCCAGAAGCCUGGCAUACCAGCAAAAGGAGCUGAGAAAAUUUUUAUUUGAGUGAUUGACAGCUUUUAACAAUUGAGUAAAGUAUACUCUUGUGGACAAAAUUUGGAGCAUAUUUGUUUCUUUCUACUUGAUUUCUCCCGAAGUUGGAAACCAGUUGUGAGUAUUCUUAAUUUAUGGCAAUAUAGUUAUUUCCAUAAGUGCAAUAAGAAUCUGCUUUCUUUUGCAACAGGACACAAUUGGAGAACCUGCUUAUUUUACCAAGGCUUUGACUGGAAUGGUGUGCUUUCCUUUAAGGAAUGAAACUUGACUUAUAUAGCCAAUAAAAGCCUCUUGGG